rnacentral:rRNA from 1 species
CGGAGGCAGCAGUGGGGAAUUUUCGGCAAUGGGCGCAAGCCUGACCGAGCAACGCCGCGUGCGGGAUGACGGCCUUCGGGUUGUAAACCGCUUUUGGAGGGGACGAUUGUGACGGUACCCUCCGAAUAAGCCUCGGCUAACUCUGUGCCAGCAGCCGCGGUAAGACAGAGGAGGCAAGCGUUGUCCGGAGUUACUGGGCGUAAAGCGCACGCAGGCGGCCGGGCAAGUGCGGUGUGAAAGCUGGCGGCUUAACCGUCAGAGGCCAUCGCAGACUGCCCGGCUCGAGCCCGGGAGAGGUCGGUCGAAUUGCCGGUGUAGUGGUGAAAUGCGUAGAGAUCGGCAGGAAGACCCAGGGCGCAAGCAGCCGACUGGCCCGGAGCUGACGCUCAGGUGCGAAAGCGUGGGGAGCGAACCGGAUUAGAUACCCCUGUAGUCCA